rnacentral:rRNA from 1 species
UGGGGAAUUUUGGACAAUGGGCGAAAGCCUGAUCCAGCAAUGCCGCGUGUGUGAAGAAGGCCUUCGGGUUGUAAAGCACUUUUGUCCGGAAAGAAAUCCUUGGCUCUAAUACAGUCGGGGGAUGACGGUACCGGAAGAAUAAGCACCGGCUAACUACGUGCCAGCAGCCGCGGUAAUACGUAGGGUGCAAGCGUUAAUCGGAAUUACCGGGCGUAAAGCGUGCGCAGGCGGUUUGCUAAGACCGAUGUGAAAUCCCCGGGCUCAACCUGGGAACUGCAUUGGUGACUGGCAGGCUAGAGUAUGGCAGAGGGGGGUAGAAUUCCACGUGUAGCAGUGAAAUGCGUAGAGAUGUGGAGGAAUACCGAUGGCGAAGGCAGCCCCCUGGGCCAAUACUGACGCUCAUGCACGAAAGCGUGGGGAGCAAACGGGAUUAGAUACCCUGGUAGUCCACGCCCUAAACGAUGUCAACUAGUUGUUGGGGGAUUCAUUUCCUUAGUAACGUAGCUAACGCGUGAAGUUGACCGCCUGGGGGAGUACGGUCGCAAGAUUAAAACUUAAAUGAAUUGACGGGG